rnacentral:rRNA from 1 species
AUUGAAUGCUGGCGGCAGGCCUAACACAUGCAAGUCGAACGAGUGGCGGACGGGUGAGUAAUGUCUGGGAAACUGCCUGAUGGAGGGGGAUAACUACUGGAAACGGUAGCUACUCCCGCAUACCAUCGGCUUUUCCCAGAUUGCAUUAGCUAUUAGGUGAGGUAAAGGCUCACCUAGGCAACGAUCCCGAGCUGGUCUGAGAGGAUGACCAUCCACAAUGGAACGGAGACACGGUCCAGACUCCUACGGGAGGCAGCAGUGGGGAAGAUUGCACAAUGGGCGCAAGCCUGAUGGAGCAACGCCGCGUGAAUGAAGAAGGUCUUCGGAUUGUAAAGUACUUUCAGCGGGGAAGCGUUACCCGCCGAAGAAGCACCGGCUAACUCCGUGCCAGCAGCCGCGGUAAUAC